rnacentral:rRNA from 1 species
GAUGAACGCUGGCGGCGUGCCUAAUACAUGCAAGUCGAGCGAACAGACGAGGAGCUUGCUCCUCUGACGUUAGCGGCGGACGGGUGAGUAACACGUGGAUAACCUACCUAUAAGACUGGGAUAACUUCGGGAAACCGGAGCUAAUACCGGAUAAUAUAUUGAACCGCAUGGUUCAAUAGUGAAAGACGGCUUUGCUGUCUCUUAUAGAUGGAUCCGCGCCGCAUUAGCUAGUUGGUAAGGUAACGGCUUACCAAGGCAACGAUGCGUAGCCGACCUGAGAGGGUGAUCGGCCACACUGGAUCUGAGACACGGUACAGACUCCUACGGGAGGCAGCAGUAGGGAAUCUUCCGCAAAGGGCGAAAGCCUGACGGAGAGACGCCGCGUGAGUGAUGAAGGUCUUCGGAUCGUAAAACUCUGUUAUUAGGGAAGAACAAAUGUGUAAGUAACUAUGCACGUCUUGACGGUACCUAAUCAGAAAGCCACGGCUAACUACGU